CCUACGGGUGGCUGCAGUGGGGAAUAUUGGACAAUGGGGGCAACCCUGAUCCAGCCAUGCCGCGUGUGUGAAGAAGGCCCUCGGGUUGUAAAGCACUUUCAGUGAGGAAGAACGCCUGGUGGUUAAUACCCAUCAGGAAAGACAUCACUCACAGAAGAAGCACCGGCUAACUCCGUGCCAGCAGCCGCGGUAAUACGGAGGGUGCGAGCGUUAAUCGGAAUUACUGGGCGUAAAGCGCGCGUAGGUGGCUUGAUAAGUCGGUUGUGAAAGCCCCGGGCUCAACCUGGGAACGGCAUCCGGAACUGUCAAGCUAGAGUGCAGGAGAGGAAGGUAGAAUUCCCGGUGUAGCGGUGAAAUGCGUAGAGAUCGGGAGGAAUACCAGUGGCGAAGGCGGCCUUCUGGACUGACACUGACACUGAGGUGCGAAAGCGUGGGUAGCAAACAGGAUUAGAUACCCCAGUAGUC
rnacentral:rRNA from 1 species